rnacentral:rRNA from 1 species
GUGAACGCUGGCGGUAGGCCUAACACAUGCGAGUCGAACGGCAGCACAGUAAGAGCUUGCUCUUACGGGUGGCGAGUGGCGGACGGGUGAGGAAUACAUCGGAAUCUACUUUUUCGUGGGGGAUAACGUAGGGAAACUUACGCUAAUACCGCAUACGACCUACGGGUGAAAGCAGGGAAUCUUCGGACCUUGCGCGAUUGAAUGAGCCGAUGUCGGAUUAGCUAGUUGGCGGGGUAAAGGCCCACCAAGGCGACGAUCCGUAGCUGGUCUGAGAGGAUGAUCAGCCACACUGGAACUGAGACACGGUCCAGACUCCUACGGGAGGCAGCAGUGGGGAAUAUUGGACAAUGGGCGCAAGCCUGAUCCAGCCAUACCGCGUGGGUGAAGAAGGCCUUCGGGUUGUAAAGCCCUUUUGUUGGGAAAGAAAAGCAGCAGGUUAAUACCCCGCUGUUCUGACGGUACCCAAAGAAUAAGCACCGGCUAACUUCGUG